CCUACGGGGGGCUGUAGUGGGGAAUAUUGGACAAUGGGCGAAAGCCUGAUCCAGCCAUGCCGCGUGUGUGAAGAAGGCCUUCGGGUUGUAAAGCACUUUCAGUGGGGAAGAAAGCCUUGGGGCUAAUACCCUCGAGGAAGGACAUCACCCACAGAAGAAGCACCGGCUAACUCCGUGCCAGCAGCCGCGGUAAUACGGAGGGUGCGAGCGUUAAUCGGAAUUACUGGGCGUAAAGCGCGCGUAGGCGGUCUGAUAAGCCGGUUGUGAAAGCCCCGGGCUCAACCUGGGAACGGCAUCCGGAACUGUCAGGCUAGAGUGCAGGAGAGGAAGGUAGAAUUCCCGGUGUAGCGGUGAAAUGCGUAGAGAUCGGGAGGAAUACCAGUGGCGAAGGCGGCCUUCUGGACUGACACUGACGCUGAGGUGCGAAAGCGUGGGUAGCAAACAGGAUUAGAUACCCUGGUAGUC
rnacentral:rRNA from 1 species